AGCGGCAGCGAGNAAAGUAGCUUGNCUACUUUUUGCCGGCGANCGGCGGGACGGUGUGCAUAUAAUGCCUGGGGGAUCUGCCCAGNUCNAGGGGGAUAACANAUUGGAAACGACUGCUAAUACCGCAUACGCCCUACGGGGGAAAGGAGGGGACCUUCGGGCCUUUCGCGAUUGGAUGAACCCAGGUGGGAUUAGCUAGUUGGUGGGNUAAUGGCUCACCAAGGCGACGAUCCCUAGCUGGUCUGANAGGAUGAUCAGCCACACUGNAACUGANACACGNNCCAGACUCCUACGGNAGGNAGCANUGGGGAAUAUUGCACAAUGGGGGAAACCCUGAUGCAGCCAUGCCGCGUGUGUGAANAAGGCCUUCGGGUUGUAAAGCACUUUCAGCGAGGAGGAAAGGUUGNCNCCUAAUACNUGUCANCUGUGACGUUACUCNCAGAAGAANCACCGGCUAACUCCGUGCCAGCAGCCGCGGNAAUACGGAGGGUGCAANCGUUANUCGGAAUUACUGGNCGUAAAGCGCACGCAGGCGGUUGGAUAAGUUAGAUGUGAAAGCCCCGGGCUCAACCUGGGAAUUGCAUUUAAAACUGUCCAGCUAGAGUCUUGUAGAGGGGGGUAGAAUUCCAGGUGUANCGNUGAAAUGCGUANAGAUCUGGAGGAAUACCGGUGGCGAAGGCGGCCCCCUGGACAAANACUGACGCUCAAGUGCGAAAGCGUGGGGAGCAAACAGGAUNAGAUACCCUGGUAGUCCACGCCGUAANCGAUGUCNAUUUGGAGGCUGUGUCCUUGAAACGUGGCUUCCGGANCUAACGCGUUAAAUCGACCGCCUGGGG
rnacentral:rRNA from 1 species